rnacentral:rRNA from 1 species
GACGAACGCUGGCGGCGUGCUUAACACAUGCAAGUCGAACGGAAAGGCCCUGCUUUUGUGGGGUGCUCGAGUGGCGAACGGGUGAGUAACACGUGAGUAACCUGCCCUUGCCUUUGGGAUAACUUCAGGAAACUGGGGCUAAUACCGGAUAGGAGCUCCUGCUGCAUGGUGGGGGCUGGAAAGUUUCGGCGGUUGGGGAUGGACUCGCGGCUUAUCAGCUUGUUGGUGGGGUAGUGGCUUACCAAGGCAUUGACGGGUAGCAGGCCUGAGAGGGUGACCGGCCAAAUUGGGACGGAGAUACGGCCCAGCCCACUACGGUAGGCAGCGCUGGGGAAGAUUAUACUAUGGGCUGAAGCCUGAUGCAGCAACGCCGCGUGCGGGAUGACGGCCUGCGGUUUGUAAACCGCUUUCGCCUGUGACGAAGCGUGAGUGACGGUAAUGGGUGAAGAAGCACCGGCUAACUACGUG